AAGUCGUAACAAGGUUUCCGUAGGUGAACCUGCGGAAGGAUCAUUACAGAGUUCAUGCCCUAACGGGUAGACCUCCCACCCUUUGUUAUACAUACCUUUGUUGCUUUGGCAGGCCGCCUUCGGGCUAUCGGCUUCGGCUGGUGCGUGCCUGCCAGAGGACCCCAAACUCUGAAUUUUAAUGUCGUCUGAGUACUAUAUAAUAGUUAAAACUUUCAACAACGGAUCUCUUGGUUCUG
rnacentral:misc_RNA from 1 species